UAUUUGCGUGAAGGAUUGUAGCGGCAUCCCUCGCUUUUUAGCGAGGAUACAGCGAAAAGCCUGACCCUUG
rnacentral:sRNA from 1 species